AUUCCACACCCGUGCCCUAAGAACCCGACCCGACUCAUUUUCUCUCCUGCCUCUUCCUCUCUCUCGCGACCUCCCCAACGCCGACGCCUGCCUCAGUGAUCGCCGAUUUUUCCCUUUCCUCUCUCGGUGUCGCCGGUGAGGAGCAGAUUCCGGAGGGUGGUGAAGAAGGGGGUCAACUAUCGACGAACUCUCCUUCUCCCUGGCUUUUCUCUUCCUUUCUAGUCUCGGCAAACCGCGGCGACGGAGCUUCGAUUUGGGGUUUGCGCUUACUGUCGGAAAGGGGCCGAAGGCACCGGCGUUGGAUCUGGCCAGCGUCGACCGAUUGUGUGAGGUUUUGGUUGAGAAUUAGGGUUCUGAUCUCUUCUCUGUGCGUUAGCAAGAACAAGACCGAGCCCUAAUCGGGAUAUUGGAGAGGUGCUGUGGUGAUUUCAGCCAUCACAGAUUUAUUGGGUUGGUUCCUCCACCGGAGUUGUGAUCAUCUCCGGCGAUUGAAGCAGUAGAGUGAGUCCAGUGUAUUUCCUUGACCUAGAUCAAUGAUGGGAUCAAGAGGAGUGGUGAAAUGUGUUGUUCGGUUGUGGAAUGCUUUGAGUGCUAUGUACUGUAGUUUCUGUGAAGGCUGUGGGUGGUUGGUCGGAAUUGGUUAACAGUGGAUCUUGAUCUAUACGAGCAGCGUGACGUGGGAUGGUUCUGUUGAUACGAGAUAUCUGGAGGCGGGUAGUAGGUAGUUGAUUGGAGUUACUUGGAGUAUGCUGCCAGCCGGUCCCACUUCCCGCGUUACAUCCGAGGAUUCUUACAGGGUUUUAGUCUUUUACUAUUCGCAUUUUACGUUUCAUGGAUUUGGUGUUGUCAUUUUAUACUAUGACUUGAUACGUGUAUUGUGGACCUAUACCUGUGGUGUGUUUUUGUGGACUUUCGAUUAUGUGAGUUUCAUAUUCGUUUUC